rnacentral:rRNA from 1 species
GAUGAACGCUAGCUACAGGCUUAACACAUGCAAGUCGAGGGGAAACGACAUCGGAAGCUUGCUUUUGAUGGGCGUCGACCGGCGCACGGGUGAGUAACGCGUAUCCAACCUGCCCACCACUUGGGGAUAACCUUGCGAAAGUAAGACUAAUACCCAAUGAUAUCUCUAGAAGGCAUCUGAAAGGGAUUAAAGAUUUAUCGGUGAUGGAUGGGGAUGCGUCUGAUUAGCUUGUUGGCGGGGUAACGGCCCACCAAGGCAACGAUCAGUAGGGGUUCUGAGAGGAAGGUCCCCCACAUUGGAACUGAGACACGGUCCAAACUCCUACGGGAGGCAGCAGUGAGGAAUAUUGGUCAAUGGGCGAGAGCCUGAACCAGCCAAGUAGCGUGCAGGAUGACGGCCCUAUGGGUUGUAAACUGCUUUUAUAAGGGAAUAAAGUGAAGCCUCGUGAGGCUUUUUGCAUGUACCUUAUGAAUAAGGACCGGCUAAUUCCGUG